rnacentral:tRNA from 1 species
GGUCCCGUGGUGUAGUGGUUAACAUGCCUGCCUAUCACGCAGGAGAUCGUCGGUUCGACCCCGGUCGGGACCGCCA